AAGGUAGACUGGGCAAUCGCUCCUGAAUAUUAUUUGGGGUUUACUUCAAACUUAUUAAGGGGAGGAAAGUCCGGACACUCCUUCGAUACAAUAUCGGAGGAAGUGAGUAGUGGGUAAUGCCCACCCUCCAAUGGGUGACCAAUUGGAGCGGGAAAGUGCCACAGAGACAAUACUAGUCAAUUGGUUGAGUGGCCCAGCACCUUUUCCGAAAAUAACUGUUUCCAUUCGAAGGAUUGAUGCGCGGUUCCGGCUGCGCCUCAGUCAUCGGUAUAGAAACAUUUGUAGGUGGAAAAGGUGCAUGGGCGCUCAAUUUUGUUGCUUCGCCGUUUGGCGAAGACAAAAUUGGCGAAAGGUGAAAAGUAUGGCGAGGUCAGAGUUCGCUGCAUCAGCUGAUUAGCGAACAAGGCUACGUCAUUCCGCGGUCGGUGACGGCUGCUGGUGGAAAACCCUACUCGGUGCAAGGCCGUACUGCCAAUGCUUCUGGCAUUGGCGGAGUGCCGCUCAUGAUCUCGACGGCAACGUCGGGGCUAGAUGAAUGGUUGCCGUCUCGCUAAGGCGAGAUACAGAAUCCGGCUUAUAGGUCUACCUUGAUA
rnacentral:RNase_P_RNA from 1 species